AGUGAACGCUGGCGGUAGGCCUAACACAUGCAAGUCGAACGGCAGCACAGUAAGAGCUUGCCCUUACGGGUGGCGAGUGGCGGACGGGUGAGGAAUACAUCGGAAUCUACUUUUUCGUGGGGGAUAACGUAGGGAAACUUACGCUAAUACCGCAUACGACCUACGGGUGAAAGCAGGGGAUCUUCGGGCCUUGCGCGAUUGAAUGAGACGAUGCCGGAUUAGCUAGUUGGCGGGGUAACGGCUCACCAAGGCGACGAUCCGUAGCUGGUCUGAGAGGAUGAUCAGCCACACUGGAACUGAGACACGGUCCAGACUCCUACGGGAGGCAGCAGUGGGGAAUAUUGGACAAUGGGCGCAAGCCUGAUCCAGCCAUACCGCGUGGGUGAAGAAGGCCUUCGGGUUGUAAAGCCCUUUUGUUGGGAAAGAAAAGCAGCAGGUUAAUACCCCGCUGUUCUGACGGUACCCAAAGAAUAAGCACCGGCUAACUUCGUG
rnacentral:rRNA from 1 species